GAUGAACGCUGGCGGCGUGCUUAACACAUGCAAGUCGAACGAUGAAAGCGGGAGCUUGCUCCUGCUGGAUUAGUGGCGAACGGGUGAGUAACACGUGAGCAAUCUGCCCCGAACUCUGGGAUAAGCGUUGGAAACGACGUCUAAUACCGGAUACGACGCGCGAAGGCAUCUUCUGCGCGUGGAAAGAACUUCGGUUCGGGAUGAGCUCGCGGCCUAUCAGCUAGUUGGUGAGGUAACGGCCCACCAAGGCGACGACGGGUAGCCAGCCUGAGAGGGUGACCGGCCACACUGGGACUGAGACACGGCCCAGACUCCUACGGGAGGCAGCAGCGGGGAAUAUUGCACAAUGGGCGCAAGCCUGAUGCAGCAACGCCGCGUGAGGGACGACGGCCUUCGGGUUGUAAACCUCUUUUAGCAGGGAAGAAGCGAAAGUGACGGUACCUGCAGAAAAAGCACCGGCUAACUACGUGCCAGCCGCCGCUGUAACAC
rnacentral:rRNA from 1 species